UACGAAGGGUGCAAGCGUUGUUCAGAUUUAUUGGGCGUAAAGCGCGCGUAGGCGGACCUGCAAGUCAGAUGUGAAAUCUCGGGGCUCAACCCCGAAACUGCGUCUGAAACUACAGGUCUAGAAUCUUGGAGGGGGAAGGGGAAUUCGCAUGUAGGGGUAAAAUCCGUAGAUAUGCGAAGGAACACCAGAGGCGAAGGCGCCUUCCUGGACAAGUAUUGA
rnacentral:rRNA from 1 species